UACGGAGGGUGCGAGCGUUGUCCGGAAUCACUGGGCGUAAAGAGCUCGUAGGCGGCUUGUCGCGUCGACUGUGAAGUCCCGCGGCUCAACUGCGGGUCUGCAGUCGAUACGGGCAGGCUAGAGUUCGGUAGGGGAGACUGGAAUUCCUGGUGUAGCGGUGAAAUGCGCAGAUAUCAGGAGGAACACCGGUGGCGAAGGCGGGUCUCUGGGCCGAUACUGACGCUGAGGAGCGAAAGCGUGGGGAGCGAACAGG
rnacentral:rRNA from 1 species